UACGAAGGGGGCGAGCGUUGUUCGGAUUUACUGGGCGUAAAGGGCGCGCAGGCGGCAGAUCAAGUCAGACGUGAAAGCCCCGGGCUUAACCUGGGAACUGCGUUUGGGACUGAUUUGCUAGAGAUCGGGAGAGGAGAGUGGAAUUCCCAGUGUAGAGGUGAAAUUCGUAGAUAUUGGGAAGAACACCGGUGGCGAAGGCGGCUCUCUGGACCGACAUUGACGCUGAGGAGCGAAAGCUAGGGGAGCAAACGGG
rnacentral:rRNA from 1 species